rnacentral:rRNA from 1 species
CCUACGGGUGGCAGCAGUGAGGAAUAUUGGUCAAUGGACGAGAGUCUGAACCAGCCAAGUAGCGUGAAGGAUGACUGCCCUAUGGGUUGUAAACUUCUUUUAUAUGGGAAUAAAAUGUUCCACGUGUGGGAUUUUGUAUGUACCAUAUGAAUAAGGAUCGGCUAACACCGUGCCAGCAGCCGCGGUAAUACGGAGGAUCCGAGCGUUAUCCGGAUUUAUUGGGUUUAAAGGGAGCGUAGGUGGAUUGUUAAGUCAGUUGUGAAAGUUUGCGGCUCAACCGUAAAAUUGCAGUUGAAACUGGCAGUCUUGAGUACAGUAGAGGUGGGCGGAAUUCGUGGUGUAGCGGUGAAAUGCUUAGAUAUCACGAAGAACUCCGAUUGCGAAGGCAGUUCACUGGACUGCAACUGACACUGAGGCUCGAAAGUGUGGGUAUCAAACAGGAUUAGAUACCCGUGUAGUC